UACGAAGGGGGCUAGCGUUGUUCGGAAUUACUGGGCGUAAAGCGCGUGUAGGCGGGUCUUUAAGUCAGGGGUGAAAUGCCAAGGCUCAACCUUGGAACUGCCUUUGAUACUGGAGACCUUGAGUCCGGGGGAGGUGAGUGGAAUUGCGAGUGUAGAGGUGAAAUUCGUAGAUAUUCGCAAGAACACCAGUGGCGAAGGCGGCUCACUGGCCCGGAACUGACGCUGAGACGCGAAAGCGUGGGGAGCAAACAGG
rnacentral:rRNA from 1 species